GUCCACGCCGUAAACGAUGGAUACUAGCUGUUCGGAGCAAUCUGAGUGGCUAAGCGAAAGUGAUAAGUAUCCCACCUGGGGAGUACGUUCGCAAGAAUGAAACUCAAAGGAAUUGACGGGGGCCCGCACAAGCGGUGGAGCAUGUGGUUUAAUUCGAUGAUACGCGAGGAACCUUACCAAGGCUUAAAAUGGGAAACGACAGAUUUGGAAACAGAUUUUUCUCGGACGUUUUUUCAAGGUGCUGCAUGGUUGUCGU
rnacentral:rRNA from 1 species